rnacentral:rRNA from 1 species
UGGGGAAUAUUGCACAAUGGGCGCAAGCCUGAUGCAGCCAUGCCGCGUGUGUGAAGAAGGCCUUCGGGUUGUAAAGCACUUUCAGCGGGGAGGAAGGCGGUGAGGUUAAUAACCUCAUCGAUUGACGUUACCCGCAGAAGAAGCACCGGCUAACUCCGUGCCAGCAGCCGCGGUAAUACGGAGGGUGCAAGCGUUAAUCGGAAUUACUGGGCGUAAAGCGCACGCAGGCGGUCUGUCAAGUCGGAUGUGAAAUCCCCGGGCUCAACCUGGGAACUGCAUUCGAAACUGGCAGGCUAGAGUCUUGUAGAGGGGGGUAGAAUUCCAGGGGUAGCGGUGAAAUGCGUAGAGAUCAGGAGGAAUACCGGUGGCGAAGGCGGCCCCCUGGACAAAGACUGACGCUCAGGUGCGAAAGCGUGGGGAGCAAACAGG